UACGGGGGGGGCAAGCGUUGUUCGGAAUUACUGGGCGUAAAGGGCUCGUAAGCGGCCAACUAAGUCAGACGUGAAAUCCCUCGGCUUAACCGGGGAACUGCGUCUGAUACUGGAUGGCUUGAAUCCGGGAGAGGGAUGCGGAAUUCCAGGUGUAGCGGUGAAAUGCGUAGAGAUGCGGAGGAACAUCAGUGGCGAAGGCGGCCUGCUGGGCUGUUGCUGACGCUGAGGCGCGACAGCGGUGGGGAGCAAACGGG
rnacentral:rRNA from 1 species